rnacentral:rRNA from 1 species
GACGAAAGUCUGACCGAGCAACGCCGCGUGAGUGAAGAAGGUUUUCGGAUCGUAAAGCUCUGUUGUAAGUCAAGAACGUGUGUGAGAGUGGAAAGUUCACACAGUGACGGUAGCUUACCAGAAAGGGACGGCUAACUACGUGCCAGCAGCCGCGGUAAUACGUAGGUCCCGAGCGUUGUCCGGAUUUAUUGGGCGUAAAGGGAGCGCAGGCGGUCAGGAAAGUCUGGAGUAAAAGGCUAUGGCUCAACCAUAGUGUGCUCUGGAAACUGUCUGACUUGAGUGCAGAAGGGGAGAGUGGAAUUCCAUGUGUAGCGGUGAAGUGCGUAGAUAUAUGGGGGAACACCAGUGGCGAAGCAGCUCUCUGGUCUGUCACUGACGCUGAAGCUCGAAGCGUG